GAUGAACGCUGGCGGCGUGCCUAACACAUGCAAGUCGAGCGAUUUACUUCGGUAAAGAGCGGCGGACGGGUGAGUAACGCGUGGGUAACCUGCCCUGUACACACGGAUAACAUACCGAAAGGUAUGCUAAUACGAGAUAAUAUGCUUUUAUCGCAUGGUAGAAGUAUCAAAGCUUUUGCGGUACAGGAUGGACCCGCGUCUGAUUAGCUAGUUGGUAAGGUAACGGCUUACCAAGGCGACGAUCAGUAGCCGACCUGAGAGGGUGAUCGGCCACAUUGGAACUGAGACACGGUCCAAACUCCUACGGGAGGCAGCAGUGGGGAAUAUUGCACAAUGGGCGAAAGCCUGAUGCAGCAACGCCGCGUGAGCGAUGAAGGCCUUGGUCGUAAGCUCUGUCCUCAGGAAGAUAAUGACGGUACUUGUAGGAGGAAGCCCCGGCUAACUACGUG
rnacentral:rRNA from 1 species